rnacentral:snoRNA from 1 species
AUGCCAUGAUGGGGGCAUGUAGUGAUGUACUCUCAGAGGCGUUCCUUUGCCUCUGAGAUGGACUCAUCAUUCUGCUGCUGGAAACUUGAUAUCUUUUUUCGGAGGGC